GUACAGCACAUAUCCUAAAAUUGGAACGAUACAGAGAAGAGUAGCGUGGCCCUGCCCAAGGACGCCAUGCAAAUUCAUGAAGGGUUCCAUAUUUUU
rnacentral:snRNA from 1 species